rnacentral:rRNA from 1 species
CAAUAAGCGGAGGAAAAGAAACUAACAAGGAUUCCCCUAGUAACUGCGAGUGAAGCGGGAAAAGCUCAAAUUUAAAAUCUGGUGGUCUUUGGCCAUCCGAGUUGUAAUUUAGAGAAGCGUCUUCCGCGCCGGGCCGUGCACAAGUCUCCUGGAAUGGAGCGUCAUAGAGGGUGAGAAUCCCGUCUUUGGCACGGAUGCCUGUGCUUUUGCGAUGCGCUCUCGAAGAGUCGAGUUGUUUGGGAAUGCAGCUCAAAAUGGGUGGUGAACUCCAUCUAAAGCUAAAUAUUGGCGAGAGACCGAUAGCGAACAAGUACCGUGAGGGAAAGAUGAAAAGCACUUUGGAAAGAGAGUGAAACAGUACGUGAAAUUGUUGAAAGGGAAACGCUUGAAGUCAGUCGCGUCGACCGAGACUCAGCCUUGCCUUGGCUUGGUGUACUUCUCGGCCCGACGGGUCAGCAUCAAUUUUGCCCCUCGGAUAAUGGCAAGGGAAAGGUGGCACCUUCACGGGUGUGUUAUAGUCUCCUGUCGCAUGCGAGGGGUGGGAUUGAGGAACUCAGCGCGCACCUUGGUGUCGGGGCUUCGGCCCACGUCACGCGCUUAGGAUGCUGGCGUAAUGGCUUUAAACGACCCGUCUUGAAACA